rnacentral:tmRNA from 1 species
GGGGGUGACCUGGUUUCGACAGGGAAUCAGAGUGCGAGUGACGCAUGCCGGAGAUGCUAUCCACUCCGUUAACAAGUAGCGACCAAACUUAAUUGCAAACACAAAUCUCUCCUUAGCAGCAUAGGCUGCUAACGUUCAACCUCUUCGUGCCGUCGGGAGGGGAUUGGGCGUCGAAACAGUGCGGCCGCCACGGGGAGGAGCUGUCCAUAAUCCUCGUUUAAGACCAUGGACUGGAUCCUUGCGGGUCUGAUUGUCUUUUACCGCAACGAUCGAGAUUAAAGACAACUAAGCAUGUAGGCUUGCUUGCAAUCGGCUCUUUGGACGCGGGUUCGAUUCCCGCCACCUCCACCA